rnacentral:tRNA from 1 species
UCCCCUGUGGCGCAAUGGUAGCGCGGCUCGCUGUUAACGAGAAGGUUCGUGGUUCGAAUCCACGCGGGGGAG